rnacentral:misc_RNA from 1 species
GAAAUGCUAUAAUUAAUGCGAAUUGCAUAAUUCCUGGAGUCAUCGAAUCUUUGAACGCACAUUGCGCCCGCCAGUAUUCUGGCGGGCAUGCCUUUCCGAACGGCAUUUCAACCAUCAAGCCCUCCCCGGGCUUGCGUUGGGGACUCUGCGGCUGCCCGCAGGCCCCGAAAGACAGUGGCGGGCUCGCUGGCACCACCGAGCGCAGUAGAAUGUCCUCGCUCUGGUCAUGCCGCGUGUCCCAGCCGUGAAACAACCCCCCUUCCACAAGGUUGACCUCGGAUCAGGUAGGAAUACACGCUGAACUUAA